UAAACUUAUAAGAUUAUAAGCACGAUGUGAUUGUAAGAUUUAAUAAUUAUUGAAUUGGCUCGAAUCGAGUCGUUAAUGUUAAUAAAGUUUUACUUUUUAAUAUUUAUCAGUUUUAAGUGUUUAAAUUUUAAUAAUGCACAUAUUAUGUUAUAAUAAAGUUCAAGUUUAAUAUUUACAUUAUAAAAAGUUCUUGAAUAUAUUUUUCUUAUCUACCACAUAUUGUAUUUUAUUUAAUAUUUUAAUCAAAUAAGCAAGUACCUAAAGUGGUUAAUCACAUGACAAUUGAAUACUUGGCGAGUAGGUACAUAAUAUAAAUAAUAUUAUGUACAAUUUGUUGUUUAAUCAUUUAUACAUCUACAAUUGUUGUUUAAAUGUAUAGCAUAUGGUUUGCUGUUACCCAGUGGAUAAUAAAUGCGUUGUUAUAUAAUCAAGUAUCAUAGCAUUACAUAAAAAUAUUACUAACAACUAAGAUGUGUCAGCCAGUUAUUGAGUUUUGUUUAUUUUGUUACUUCAAUUUGGCACAUAGAUAGUCCUAGACUAUUUAUAUUUACUACAAACAUACUUAAACAGAUGAUUUAAUUCAUAAAAAAAAGUGAUUAUAAAAUAAUUCAUACACAUAAUAAUAUAUUAUGAUUCCAAAUUGGAAUUUGAAUAUGCAAUAGUAAAAUCUAAUAUCAUAUACACUUUGGAAGAUCUUCUAUGUUAAAAUGAUAUUUAUACUACCAUUUCCAAUUACAUUUAAAAAUACCAAUAUUUUGAUAACAGUGAAAAAUAAAAUAUUGCUUCACGUAUUAGAUUUAAAUAUGACUACAAAAUAAAUUAAGUGUAAUCAAGUUAAUAAUUGCAAGAAGUGGAAAAAAAUCUAUUAGGAUUAACUGCACAUUAUAAAUUACACAUAUAUAUUAUGAUUCCAAAUUAGAAUUUGAAUAUGCAAUAGUGAAAUCUAAUAUCACAUACACUUUGGAAGAUCCUCUAUGUUAAAAUGAUAUUUAUACUACCAUUUCCAAUUACAUUUAAAAAUACCGAUAUUUUGAUAACAGUGAAAAAUAAAAUAUUGCUUCACGUAUUAGAUUUAAAUAUGACUACAAAAUAAAUUAAGUAAGUAUAAAUUUGUUUAACUGUAAUUUUAUUUAAUUAUUAUAAUGACAAAUAAAUUUUUUAGGUGCAGGUUAGGUUAACCUAACCUAUGCAUACACUGCAACUUUAUUAUAUUGUUAGGUAAUAUAUGUAUAAGUGUUACUUAAAAUCGAUUUAAGUGUCGCCUAAGCCCAGUUUUCUAUACUUUUGAAUAAUUAAACCUAAUUUCGCAUACAUAUUUGAACAUACGAUUACACUCUUAUAGUAAAAUAUUAACAUCAUCUUUAAUGAAAAUGGUUAGUAAGAGGCAAAAACUUCAUAAAACAAUCUUAUUUUAUAACAUGUAAAAGUAUUUAUUUUUUUAUGUAAUAUAACAUUGUUUUUAUUUGUCAAAAUACACCUACUCUAACUGUAGUUAAGAAAUGGCUCAAUUAAAUAUACUUACAUACCUAAGUAUUAUUAACAAAUAAUAAUAUAAUUGGUAAU